CACAGGGCAGGCUCAGGGCUGACGAUUUGUGGUGAAUAUUUGCUUUUUUUUCAGCUCUCUGUAUCCAUUUCUCCUUCUUCUGCAAACAGGGCCCUGAUUUCUUUUUUUUCCCAAUUAUUUUAUUGAAAUCAUAUAACAUUGUGUAAUUUGGGGUGUACAUUAUUAUUUAUCAGUUUCUGUAUAGACUGCACCGUGCCCACCACCUAUAGUCUAAUUUAUAUCAGUCACCACACGUACGUACCCCUUUUCCCCUUUCCCCCACCCCCCAGCCCCUUCCCUGCUGGUAACCACUAAUCUAUUCUCUUUAUCCCUGAUUUCUUUUCAAGUAAUUACCUCUUCCUCGUUGUGUGUGGGCUGUUGGGACAUUCAGUGAUGGGGAUGCAGCAGAUGCUCUUGGCCCCGCCCAGACUCCCUUUCUGAGCUGGUACAACCUCUCCCUGACACUGAGAAUGUGGAAUGCUAAGGGCUCAGCUGCCUCCUUCUUGGAAGGAUUGUCCCAGGUGAAUUACCUGGUGCUACCUGAGUGGUUACACCUCUCCCCCUGGGGGUGGCCUGUGGUUAAUGACUGACUAAUGUAGGGUAAACCUGGGCCCCUGGCCUCAAGGGGGCACAAGCUAUGUGGUGCCGUCAAUGCUCCGGCGCUGCCCAUGGAAUCAGACUGAGACUCCAUGUCUCCUGAAACCACAUCUUUAACCAGCUUCUUCCCCCACCAAUCCUGCUACCCGCCUCCUCUUCUCCUGCCAGCACACUCAACAAACAGAUUGCACAAGAAUCCUUGUCUCAAGCUCUGCUUCCAGGAAACCUGACAUAACCCAGUUAACCGUGCAUCUCGGAGAUUGUUCCACCAUUACCCCAGGUGGCGAUUUGUUCUCGGUGAUCUUGGUUAAGGUGAGAACUGUCUCCCCAAAUGCCCUUCACGCAGGGUUUUUCAUUAGAGUUGGCGGGAAGAGGAAUUCAUGGAGAUUCCGAAGGCGGAAGUGAGCAGCGGCGUCCCUCUCUCGAGGUUGAACCGCUCCAGAUUGUGGUGGGCAGACGCCCUGCUGGGCAGACGCAGAGAUGACGGCUGCCUUUCCUCACUCUCUUCUCUCCACGUCCCGCUCCUUUUCCCGGCCAAUGGCCCAGCAGACUGACAGGGGUGGGACCCACCAGGGAGGGCGGACAGUAGAGACACGGCCACCGAGGCACAGCUCCCCACUGGGCAGCCCCUUCCCUGGUUCCUCAGAUCCCCUGGGCCCCUCUUCUCCUCCAGCCCCCUCCUGAAUCCCACUCCCCCAAUGGUUUGAGGGUGUGAUUCCCACAACAAAUCCCUAUUCCAGAAAUCGCAGGGGGUUUGUUUCCCCGAGGGAGCCCUAUUUCUCCCACCUUCUGCCUCAUCCUUUUUUUCAAUUGUCGUAAAAUACACAUAGCACAAAAUUUACCAUCUUAACCAUUUUUAAGAGUACAGUUCACUAGUGAUUUAAGUACAUUCACAUUGUUGUGCAGCCCAUCUCCAGAACUCUCUCCAUCUUGCAAAACUGAGACUUGGUGCCCAUUAAGCAAUAAUUCCCAUUCCCCACCCCCCACCCCCAGCCCCAGGCAUCCACCACUCUGCUUUCUGUGUCUAUGGAUCUGAUGACUCCAGGAGCCUCAUAUAAAUGGAAUCAUGCAGGAUCUGUCAUUUUGUGACUGGCUUAUUUCACUCAGCAUAGUGUCCUCCGGGUUCAUCCAUGUUGUAGGAUAUGGCAGAAUUUCCUUCCUCUUUGAGGCUGAAUAAUAUUCCAUUGCAUGGAUGGACCACACUUUGCUAUCCAUUCCGCUGUCGUUGGACACUCGGCUUGUUUGCACCUCUUGGUUGUCGUGAGUCAUGUGGCUGCCGCCUUCGUCCUGAUGGCUGGGCAGUGCUCCACUGAGGUAGAGAGCAAGGUUAGAGCACAGGCUUCGGAGCCAGAGGGACACAGGUUGGAAUCCCGCCUCCACCCUGGGACACUCUGUGGAACCUCGGGCACAUAUAAGUGUUCAAGAAGGAGACCUGUCGUUGCCCUCACUAUGGCCAUCUCUGGGAGAGGUUCUCCUCAAAGCCGUAGCCACAGCUCGUCCCCUGAGUGGUCCUGCUCUCAGCAGCCCUAAGGCUCCCCGCUACCUCCUUCGCUUGGCGCUCUGGGCCCCCCGACCUGUCUCAGUCUGUAUCGGCCUUCCAUUCACACUGCACCACACUGAGCGGGGGAACAGACUCUCCCCUUCAUCUGGCCCUCGGCGCGGACUGCCGUGUGUGCAGGUGUCUGCCCUCCACACCGAGGGGACCAGGUCACCUGUGGAGUCACUUGCCUCCAGAACGUUCCAGCCAUUAUCUGAAGACAUCAGGCUGGGGGGCAGCUCUGCCCUCAAGCCCCAGGACCCUCCAGCUGCCAAAGCAGGGAGGUUUUCUCGGAGCAGCCGUUCUCUCGUUUGCCUUUUCACAUUCUGGGGUUCAGAGCACUGGACCAGGAGUCAACACACUCAAGCUUUCAUGUCACCCUGUGCCAGCCUGUUCUGUGGAUUCAGACAAGCCCCUUGCCUCUAUGGUCCUCCUUUUCCUCUCUGGAAAAUGCAGGAGUUGACUGGAUGGUCUCGAAAUGCUCCCCCAGUGUACCGAGGCUCUGAUUUCCAUCUGCCUCCUUUGGUCAACGUUCAUUUAUCCUUCUACUCACCCACCCACCAUCCAAUGACCUCUCUUUAUUCUUUCAUCUUCACUGGUGUUUCUUCUCAUUUCAAUGUGUCAUGCUUGCACGUGGCAAAAUUAUCAGGGUAGGGCUUAGAAGGCAAACAUCCCUCUUAGUCACAUCCUCUAUCAGUGGAUCUCAAUGGGGGAGGGGGUGGGUGCCUCCCAGGGACAUUUGGGGAUGUCUGGAGACAUUUUUGGUUGUCACAGCCUGGGGGUGGGGAGGCCAUGCUACUACUGGCAUCUAACGAACAGAGGCCAGGGGUGCUGCUCAACGUCCUGCGGUGCACAGGACAGGCCACAACAAAGAAUGAUCCAGCCUGUGAUGUCAAUAGUGCCAAGGUCGAGAAACCCUGUUCUAGAUAUCAAUGCUGUUAACAUUCGCAAGUGUAUUUUUCCAAAAAUGUCUAUGAAUAUACAAACAUAAGUGUGUGUAAUUUUUAAACUGAGAUGGGCUCUAAUUGCAGUUUGCUUUGUUCCUUUAAUAACAUUGGCGG
rnacentral:lncRNA from 1 species